UUACACAUACCCCAAAUCUUAUCUCUAAGUACCUCAUCCAAACACAGUAUAAAGGAACUAUAAAUAAUAAAUUAGCCAUCUGUUAAACAACUGCUUGCUUCUUUUGUUCAUAAGCGAUGAAGACAAAACAAUCCAUGGAUAGGUUAUAAAGUAUUUGGACUGGGGCAAGUUCAAAUCUUAGGGGUAAUCAAGAAAUGUGUUUGGAUAGGGGUAAGUACAAAUGUCAGGGGUAAUUGAAAAUUACCCCAUAGAGGAAAAAGUAAUUCUUUAUCGAUUUCAUGAAACCGACGAGAAUCAAGUGACUACUCAUCCUCCUCAAAUUGAUUUAUUUGCUCCUUUUCACCAAUGAGAUUGCUAAUUUCAACGACAAGAGGUAUAAGAACAAGUUCU
rnacentral:lncRNA from 1 species